rnacentral:rRNA from 1 species
GUAGGUGGCAAGCGUUGCCCGGAAUUAUUGGGCGUAAAGCGCGCGCAGGCGGUUCUUUAAGUCUGAUGUGAAAGCCCACGGCUCAACCGUGGAGGGUCAUUGGAAACUGGAGAACUUGAGUACAGAAGAGGAAAGCGGAAUUCCACGUGUAGCGGUGAAAUGCGUAGAGAUGUGGAGGAACACCAGUGGCGAAGGCGGCUUUCUGGUCUGUAACUGACGCUGAGGCGCGAAAGCGUGGGGAGCAAACAGGAUUAGAUACCCUGGUAGUCCACGCCGUAAACGAUGAGUGCUAAGUGUUAGGGGGGUUUCCGCCCCCCUUAGUGCUGCAGCUAACGCAUUAAGCGCUCCGCCUGGGAGUACGGCCGCAAGGCUG